CCUACGGGCGGCAGCAGUGAGGAAUAUUGGUCAAUGGUCGGGAGACUGAACCAGCCAAGCCGCGUGAGGGAUGAAGGUACAGAGUAUCGUAAACCUCUUUUGUCAGGGAACAAAGGCGGGGACGUGUCCCCGGAUGAGUGUACCUGAAGAAAAAGCAUCGGCUAACUCCGUGCCAGCAGCCGCGGUAAUACGGAGGAUGCGAGCGUUAUCCGGAUUUAUUGGGGUUAAAGGGUGCGCAGGCGGUCUGUUAAGUCAGCGGUCAAAGCCCGGGGCUCAACCCCGGCCCGCCGUUGAAACUGGCAGUCGCGAGUUGGAGAGAAGUAUGCGGAAUGCGCGGUGUAGCGGUGAAAUGCAUAGAUAUCGCGCAGAACUCCGAUUGCGAAGGCAGCAUGCCGGCUCCACACUGACGCUGAGGCACGAAAGCGUGGGUAUCGAACAGGAUUAGAUACCCUUGUAGUC
rnacentral:rRNA from 1 species